GGUAAACUGUCUUGAGCCCCAUCCUCACCUACCUGUUUUGGCAACCAGUGGCCUAGACCAUGAUGUGAAGAUCUGGGCACCAACAGCAGAAGCCUCCACUGAGCUAACAGGGUUAAAGGAUGUGAUCAAGAAGAACAAGCGAGAGCGGGAUGAGGACAGCUUGCAUCACACUGACCUGUUUGAUAGUCACAUGCUGUGGUUCCUUAUGCACCACCUGAGACAGAGACGCCAUCAUCGGGUAAGCUUCAGUUGGAAGUGAGCUCCCACGGACUGUGCUCCUUCACAGAAAGCUGAAAGUUUCAUGGCACACUUCCUUACUGCUUUACAGAGGAAUGGAGUGGUCUUGGUCGGGUGUCCCACCCACUGGCCUUUACCCGCAUGAGAGGAACUAGUAGAAAGGAGGUGGUGUGUGAUUUGUCCUGUCACCGUAUAUGCAGAGGGCUAGCUUAUGGAGGGUGGGGAGAGUAGAGAAGAAACCACUGCUCGGGUGACUGUGUUAACUGUCAUGUUAAAAGAGGUCUAGGGCAGGUCUCAAACAAACACAUUAUUAUUGAGAAUGCAGCCAUACUAUUUUUUUUGUAUUACCUCGGGCUGCUCACAUGGUGCAGAGACAGCUGAACAGUUCCAACAAAGACCACAUGGCCUAAAAGAUUUCCUGUCUGGCCUUUUAAGGAAAAUCUGAGCCAGGUACAGUAGUAAGCACCAUAAGCCUGGCUACCAGGGAGGCUGGGGUAGGAUUGGUAGUAACCAGGUCACCCUGAGUUUUUUAAUUUAGGGGAAAAAAAAACCUUCUGUUGACCCCUGACUCAAUCUAGAUCUAACAGUUUUGUCCUUGAUCCAGGGACAUUACUA
rnacentral:lncRNA from 1 species